rnacentral:rRNA from 1 species
GACGUAGGAUGCGAGCGUUGUCCGGAUUCAUUGGGCGUAAAGAGCGCGCAGGCGGCUUGGUAAGUCGGAUGUGAAAACCCGAGGCUCAACCUCGGGCGUGCAUCCGAAACUGCUCGGCUAGAGGUAGGUAGGGGAGAUCGGAAUUCCUGGUGUAGCGGUGAAAUGCGCAGAUAUCAGGAGGAACACCGGUGGCGAAGGCGGAUCUCUGGGCCUUACCUGACGCUCAGGCGCGAAAGCUAGGGGAGCGAACUGG